AAAAAGAAAGAGAAAGUGGAGGGGACGGUAGAUACAUAUGUUGAUUUUUCUCGUUUCAGCCGCCCAUGCCCAUCCCAAUCCUCACAGCCAGUCUCUAGUUUCUUCUCCUCUCCUCUUCUCUCGUUUCUUCCUGUGCUGCCUCUUAUCACCCUUCUCACCUCCUUCAAUGGCCAGAUCUGAUCAGGUGAGGUCAAAUCCGAUGAGGAGAAGUAACUGAAAGGGAGAGGUGGAACCUGAGGGAAACUUCUCUCUCAGCAUGGGGUCCAUAUUCCCCUCCUCACCGCUGCUCCUUUCUUCGGCAUGGUCGGCGAUGUCGUAGCCGCCGGAUCCGGCUAUCUCUAUCGAGUCCAGUCGCUUUUUGGCGAGGCGCUGCCGCGACCGCCGCCGGAUCGGGGUCGUCCAUCGCCGUCGCGAGCGCCGUGUGGCUCUCACGUCGUUGGGGGCUGCCGAAGCCGAGCGGGGAAGCACGUGCGCGAUCUCCGGUUAGUUGAAGAGGACGGGGGUGGCGCGGCCCUUGAUGGCACGGCGGUGGCAAACGUGCAGAGCCAGAUGCGCGAGUUCUUGCGCAGCUCUCAGAUCUCCGACACCCACUUGCCCCAACUCCACAUGCUGCUGCUAGAUCCAACGGGCGGCGAGCUUCGUCGGUGGAGAGCUUUUGCGCCGACUGCUCGAGCAUCCAGCAAAAUGUAAGGUGGAGGUGGUGCGGUGGUUGGGUCACGGAUCGGCCAGGGUGGCGAGCCUGGGGGAAUUGGCAGGCAGGCAAAGGAGGGAAAGACGGGCCAAACAUUAAAAAAAAAUAAAGGUUGCCAGUGGAAGAAAACAAACUGUAGAAGGCAAAUCCGGUGACUUGGAGCUGCUAAGGGGCUGUUUGGUUUCCAGGGACUUAUUCCAAGUCCAUGUCACAUCGGAUAUUUGGACACUAAUUUGGAGUAUUAAACAUACAUUAAUUACAAAACCUAUUCCAUAAGCUUGGACUAAUUCGCGAGACGAAUCUUUUGAGUCUAAUUAUGUCAUGAUUUUGACAAUGUGAUGCUACAGUAAACUUUUGAUAAUUAUGGAUUAAUUAGGCUUAAAAAAAUCGUCUCGCGGAUUAGCUCUCAUUUAUGAAAUUAGUUUUUUUAUUAGUCUAUGUUUAAUACUCUAAAUUAGCGUUCAAACAUCUGAUGUGACUUGGGCUAAAAAGUUUUAGCCCCAUCUAAACACCCCCUAAGCAAAUCCGGCGACUUUUGCUAUCUCGCUGUUCUGAUUGCCAGCAAAUUUGAUGAUUUGGAGCUGCUAAGCAAAUCCGGCGACUUCUGCUAUCUCGCUGUUCUGAUUGCCAGCAAAUUUGAUGAUUGCCACUGGUUGCAUGUUGUUUGCUAUUGACUUGAUUUGUUGUUGGCUGUGGGAUGUGAAUCCGAUCGUCAAAGCAGUCGGUUUCGGUGACAGUCAUAGCAGUCGGUUUCGGUGAAUAAUAGCAGUAGUUUGGAAAAGUUUUGGCUAUAGGAAUCUUUGCAUGUCAAUCCGUGUGCUACACUGUUUCAGUGAAAAGUAGUAGUAUUUUUAUGUCGUGCUAUGAGUAGUACUCCCUCCCUCCGUAUAAGCAUAUUUUCAAAUCUGAAAAUUCUAUGAAAAUUCUAUUUUUGAUAAGCAUAUUUCAAUUUAACAAUCUAUCAUCUUAAUGACUUUCUCGGAUUUAAUGUAUGACUCUCCAUUCUUCUAUACAAGAUUGGCUACUUGAGCAUCGUGAAAUGUAAAUAUUAAUGAAUCGCAUGUUUACGAAGAAUGACUAGGAGCAUGUUUAAAUGGAUGGUAAAUAGAAUUAAUUAUCAUUGGUCUGUGUGCCAAGAUGAAAUAAGAGCUCCCAAUUCCAUAAAGGCUAUAGAAAACCGUGUAAUACACCUUUUCUACCUUUGGACUUUUAAAUGGUUCUGACUUUUACCUUGUCCGACUUGUCCGAUUUCUGCUAUAUACUCUGUAAAACUCUGAUUAAAUCUUUACCGUUAAAAUCUAGAUCUAUUAUUAUCCAAUCGUUAAAAUCUUUUUCUUUUUUUUUCGAUUAACUUGGGAAUUUAUUCCCCACAUAGAACGUGGUGUCUCCUUUCAAGACUGUUUUAAUAAUAUAAUAGAUAGAUAGAUUAAACUGCUUGGGGAAAUACUAGUGAUGUGAUGGAGACGUGGUACGUACCUUGCUAGUUUUCACAAAUAUUCCGUACAUAUAAGUAGGUUUUAAAUAGGGAUUUACUUUGAUGAGAGAUGUGUUGCUGGUUUCUAUCUCUUCGAGAGUGUGUUAGGGUGGAAGGUGAAUUCACGGGUGCGAGACUGUGAUGUUGCAUAUGCAGUGACGUGUGUGCUUGUGAUCUGUCUGCCGUGAUUAUAUUGAUCCAUUGAGACUCACGGUCAAUCACACCUUGCCUAUUUCCGUGCGUGCGACGCACUGUACGCACACCUUGUCUCCUCCUUUUGCUGCCCCUCCCCUCCUAUUCUCUUUUUUAUUUUUAAGCAAUUAUUUUUUAUCAAGAAAUCAACGGUUCGAUGGGUUCAAAAUAAUUACUAUAGUUCUAAAUUUAAUUUGUAAGCAAACGAUCAGAUCAAGAAAAUCAUCCGUCGAUAAAUAGAGCAGUUCUACGGUUCUACCCACUGUUGUAUCAAUAUAAGCGAUGCAAGCAACUUCCAGCUUGUUUGAUCUCGCACCUUGCUGUGCUGGUCACUUUGAUUCCACGUAGUAGUAGUAGUACAGCAAGGCUAUCUUUGAUUUCAUAUAAAUUUCUUGAAGCUUUUGGAAAAUAAAUUAAUUAAUUUAGGCAUUUGGGUUAUCAGGUGGGUUUUAAGCGAGCGUGCCCUACCUAUUCCUACUUAUGUGCCUCCCUACUUUUACACGCUAAUAAGUCUUAAGUUAUACAAUUAAAAACUCAGUUUUGAAUAUAUUUUAAAUCAUAAAAAAUAUAAUUUUAGGGGAACAAUAUUAUAGUACAUACUAAAAAAAUAUAUUAAACUUCUUACAAACGUUUUCAAACUGUCACGUGAUGUUCUACAAACACUUCUAGACGUCAUGUGGCGCUCUAAUUAAAAAUAAUCUAAACAUUGAUUUUUCUUCAAAUUGGUGGACCAAAUAAUUUUAACUAUUAGAUCUUAAAAAAAAUCUGGCUCCCCCACCUCCACCCCCACCGUAUGUGACCAUGCAUGUACAUGCUCCACCCUCCUACUCUCCUCUAGGAUCCCAUUGUCCUCUCCUAUUUUCUAGCUAACACAAAAAUAUAUAAAAAAUAACAAUAGCUAAAUGAUGAUGAUUCUCAAGUUACAUGUACUUUUCUCAAUUUAUUUGAUUUCUUGUGUUAUUGAUAAUUAAAUACAUAAUCCAAGAGAUAUAUUGCCCAUAUUAACUAUAUAAAAGUUACGGCCUCAUCUUUUCGCUUAUGCUUAUUAGCUAAAAUUUAAAUUUUUAACCUUAAAUUUGGAGUUAAUUUUGUGGUUUUCUAUCUAAGUUUAUUUUUCAAUAUUUGUUUUUUGAUCGCUAAGAACAUGUAUAUAAAAAUUUUUCAUAAAUUAUUUUUUGUUUGCAAAUAUGUUGUUUAACAUGGGACCGUUAGAUAAUUUGGUUGUUUUGACUACAAAUAUUUGAGCAAAAUAGCACUUUAAAAACAAUGAAUGAAUUCAAAUAUGUGAGUCUAAAGUCCAGGUUCAAUCACCACCAAGGAGCUUGGAACCAUGAUAUAUACUCUAAACCCGAUGGAAGCGGAGCUACAAGACAUUAUUAGCCAGAUAGACACCGACGACAGCGGUAGCAUUGACUUCCACGAGUUUCUAGGCCUAAUGGCAUGCAAAAGGACAAGUAUUGAGAGGAGGGGCAGAGGGAGAUGUUCCGAGUCUUCGGCAAGGAGUAGAAAAUGGCUUCAUCUCUAACGCCAAGCUCAGUCACGUCAUGUCCAAUGUAUCAGGAGAGGCUCACUAAUGAGGAGGUCGACGAGAUGAUCCACGAGACCGAUGGUAGCAAGCGUAUCAACUACAAGGAGUUUGUAUGUAAAUUCAUAGCAAAAAAAACAAGCAAAUUGAUUAAAAUAUACACUAAAAAAUCAUUAAAACUAUAAAAAUACAACAAGAUUUCAUGUAGAAUAUAAAAUAUCAAGAGUCCAUAUAAAUAGCUAAAAUUUGGAAUAAUAAAAUAAGUAUUAAAAGAAAACUCCAAACACAACACGAUACACACUUUAAAAUCCCUAAAAAGACAAUUUAGAAUAAAACAAUAAUUUGAUUUGAAUACAUAUUUGAAAUUAGACUUAAUCACUAAAUUCGAAAUACAGUAAAUAUUUUUUUAAGAACUUUUCUAUCUCUAUGCAUAACGAAUUGCAUAUAUAUGAAGCAAUUGAAGAUAGGGUUAGCAGGGUGGGAAAAUAUAUUUAUUAUAGUUUGUUGAUAUUUCUUCAAAAAAAAAAGAUGCAAGGAACACUCAAUUAAAAAUAGAAAACACCUUAUUUUAAUUUCAAUUUAUUUUGUUAGAACUAUUUUCAAAACAAACUAAUACACAUGCCCGCGCGAAUGCGCGGGCUAUCUUCCUAAUUACUCACUCCUUCCCAAAUUGAUCAUCAUAUAAUGAAAUCCAAAAUUUCUCAAAUUGAUAAUUAUAUAACCGCAUGGAUACGGAUUUUAAUGGAAUACAAUAAAUGUAGUAAGAGAAAAUGUGUACAUGCUAAGCGUGUAAUUGACAUGUUGUUUUAAUCGAUGCAUGUAUUGUGGGAGAAUAUGUACAUGGUGU